rnacentral:rRNA from 1 species
AGGGGGGGACCUCGGAGGGAUCAUUACACAAAUAUGAAGGCGGGCUGGAACCUCUCGGGGUUACAGCCUUGCUGAAUUAUUCACCCUUGUCUUUUGCGUACUUCUUGUUUCCUUGGUGGGUUCGCCCACCACUAGGACAAACAUAAACCUUUUGUAAUUGCAAUCAGCGUCAGUAACAAAUUAAUAAUUACAACUUUCAACAACGGAUCUCUUGGUUCUGGCAUCGAUGAAGAACGCAGCGAAAUGCGAUAAGUAGUGUGAAUUGCAGAAUUCAGUGAAUCAUCGAAUCUUUGAACGCACAUUGCGCCCUUUGGUAUUCCAAAGGGCAUGCCUGUUCGAGCGUCAUUUGUACCCUCAAGCUUUGCUUGGUGUUGGGCGUCUUGUCUCUAGCUUUGCUGGAGACUCGCCUUAAAGUAAUUGGCAGCCGGCCUACUGGUUUCGGAGCGCAGCACAAGUCGCACUCUCUAUCAGCAAAGGUCUAGCAUCCAUUAAGCCUUUUUUUCAACUUUUGACCUCGGAUCAGGUAGGGAUACCCGCUGAACUUAAGCAUAUCAAAA